GAGAGCUAUCCUAUAUUGC
rnacentral:miRNA from 1 species